GGACAGCAGCACGAAGAAGGAGGCUGCCUUGAACGCGCUCGAUGGAAUGGAACUGAAAUCGGUGAAGGUACCCCGGCAGUUGAAGAGAGUGGCAUUCCUACGGCAGCUGGAGAUCAAAUCAGCUGAAUAUCGACGCCACCGUGGAUCAAGAGACUGAAGACUUCUGCUUUUUUUUGAGAUGGAACAACAAUGUGCACAAGUCUGAAAGCUGCCUUUCCUCCUCUCCAUUAAUUACACAGGCUCUGGGUCAGUUUGCUUAUUCAGCUGCAAGACUUCCUUAAACCCCCAGGGUGAUGCUGUCUGAAAAACAGAGACAUGUGGCUCCAUUCAAAAUCCUUUAAUCAUGAAGUCUACUUUGGUCAAUUAAAUAAAGUUUGGCAUUAACACUUCUAGGUUGAAGAAUCAAGCCACCAACACAAAAACACCAGGAUGACUCAAGAAAAAGAAUUCCAGGGUCUUUCUGUUGUACCUGCUCUUAACUUAGGACCUGGACAUUGCUGUUGGAGAACAUCUGUUGAAUGUAAAGUUAGGUAUACUGUAGUUAUGCCAUUGUAACUGUCAUUGUAUUUUAGGGUUGCCAACUGUCCAAUUUUAGACCAGACAGUCAGGUUUUUUAAACUUGUCCGGUUUUGUAGCACACUGAAAACUGGACAUGUAUUGCCCAUUAACACUCAGUGCCAACGUCCCUGAAAGGCGACCACCGGCUCUUUGCCAGUGGUGCAAAUUUGUGACAGACUGCUGUGCCUUUAUUUAUCAAUUGCUGUUGCUAAAACAACAAAAGAACUGGACUAAAUGACGUCACCAUGAUGAGCUGCACAAUUUCAGCUUUUGAUAGGUACACAAUUUAAUAUAUGUGGCUGUUCAAUUAUUUUCAGCAAAUUUUUGUAAAGAUAGAUGUUGGUAGGAGCCAAACAGAGAAGUUGGCAGUGAAUGCAUAGUAAUAGGGAUGCCAACUGACCGGUUUUG